UGGGGAAUAUUGGGCAAUGGACGCAAGUCUGACCCAGCAACGCCGCGUGAAGGAAGAAGGCUUUCGGGUUGUAAACUUCUUUUGUCAGGGAACAGUAGAAGAGGGUACCUGACGAAUAAGCCACGGCUAACUACGUGCC
rnacentral:rRNA from 1 species